UUCAAGUACAGCUUGGAGUGAGUUGCAGUCCUUCUUACUUGAGAACUUCUUUCAUCCUCACUUCCUUUGUUGGGAGAUUGUGAUGCAAUGCUGGUGCUUUGUACUGCAAUAUGCUGAAACACAAAUGGCAAACAACAUAAUUAGCAAACUAUGUUCAUUACUUAAGCUGUUGGGAUCCUCCGACUCAGUUUUCCUUCCUCAUUCUUCCUUCAGGAAAUUGACAAGAUCAUUUUGCUUGCUUCUAACCUGUUGUGAAAAAUCAGUGGUUGAAGAGGUGUUUAUGUCAAUUGUUGGUGAUCGGAGAUCACACUUGUCACAAAUAUUGUGUUUGGCUCUGUUCAUUGAAGGGUUUUCGCUUGAUUUGCUGUCUGAUGAGUUCAGA
rnacentral:lncRNA from 1 species